rnacentral:rRNA from 1 species
GCUCUUUUGGGUCUUGUAAUUGGAAUGAGUACAAUUUAAAUCCCUUAACGAGGAACAAUUGGAGGGCAAGUCUGGUGCCAGCAGCCGCGGUAAUUCCAGCUCCAAUAGCGUAUAUUAAAGUUGUUGUGGUUAAAAAGCUCGUAGUUGAACCUUGGGCCUGGCUGGCCGGUCCGCCUCACCGCGUGUACUGGUCCGGCCGGGCCUUUCCCUCUGUGGAACCCCAUGCCCUUCACUGGGUGUGGCGGGGAAACAGGACUUUUACUUUGAAAAAAUUAGAGUGCUCCAGGCAGGCCUAUGCUCGAAUACAUUAGCAUGGAAUAAUAGAAUAGGACGUGUGGUUCUAUUUUGUUGGUUUCUAGGACCGCCGUAAUGAUUAAUAGGGACAGUCGGGGGCAUCAGUAUUCAAUUGUCAGAGGUGAAAUUCUUGGAUUUAUUGAAGACUAACUACUGCGAAAGCAUUUGCCAAGGAUGUUUUCAUUAAUCAGGAACGAAAGUUAGGGGAUCGAAGACGAUCAGAUACCGUCGUAGUCUUAACCAUAAACUAUGCCGACUAGGGAUCGGACGAUGUUAUUUUUUGACUCGUUCGGCACCUUACGAGAAAUCAAAGUGCUUGGGCUCCAGGGGGAGUAUGGUCGCAAGGCUGAAACUUAAAGAAAUUGACGGAAGGGCACCACCAGGGGUGGAGCCUGCGGCUUAAUUUGACCCAACACGGGGAAACUCACCAGGUCCAGACACAAUGAGGAUUGACAGAUUGAGAGCUCUUUCUUGAUUUUGUGGGUGGUGGUGCAUGGCCGUUCUUAGUUGGUGGAGUGAUUUGUCUGCUUAAUUGCGAUAACGAACGAGACCUUAACCUGCUAAAUAGCCCGUAUUGCUUUGGCAGUACGCUGGCUUCUUAGAGGGACUAUCGGCUCAGGCCGAUGGAAGUUUGAGGCAAUAACAGGUCUGUGAUGCCCUUAGAUGUUCAGGGCCGCACGCGCGCUACACUGACGGAGCCAGCGAGUUCUCCCUUGGCCGGAAGGUCCGGGUAAUCUUGUUGAACUCCGUCGUGCUGGGGAUAGAGCAUUGCAAUUAUUGCUCUUCAACGAGGAAUCCCUAGUAAGCGCAAGUCAUCAGCUUGCGUUGAUUACGUCCCUGCCCUUUGUACACACCGCCCGUCGCUACUACCGAUUGAAUGGCUCAGUGAGGCGUCCGGACUGGCCCAGAGAGGUGGGCAACUACCCCUCAGGGCCGGAAAGCUCUCCAAACUCUGUCAUUUAGAGGAAGUAAAAGUCGUAACAAGGUCUCCGUUGGUGAACCAGCGGAGG